rnacentral:lncRNA from 1 species
AGGAUCAGCAUGACUGUAGUGUUCCUGGCUUAACCCUGAGAGGUUGCUGUUCCCAGUGACUAUCUAGGCUGAAGCCCAUGUAGGAUUUGAAGAGACUGAUCCAGGCUUUAUGAGUGGCUGCGACCAUGCUGUAUGUGUGUAUGUGUGUGUGUACACCGCCUAAGUGUGUUCAUUUCAGCCACAGCAAGAGUUAUGUUACAAGGAUAGCAUAGACAGCCCUGCCUAUUGCAAGAGUAAUGCAUCAGGUGUGAAACAGAUCUUUAAUGCUGUGUGAAGCAGGCUCUUUUAAGGUCAGCCAGACUUUCUGGGGAAAAAGAAACUAUUGCCUAACCCUUCAGGUCAUGGAGACUUAUGUUUUUGUGUUUUUCUCGCAGUUUUACAGUUUUAGCACCUACAUUUAAGUCUUUGAUCCCUUUUGUGUUCAUUUUUAUGGAUAGUGAGAAGUAGGGGUUCAAAUCCAUUUUUUUUUUCAUCUAGAUAUUCAGUUGUCCCAGAAUCAUUUGUUGAAAAAGCUCUUCUUUCCCCCAUUGAAUUGUCUUAGCACAUUUUUCAAACAUUACCCAACCACAAAUGUAAGGAUUUAUUUUUGGACACUCAGUUCUAUUUAACUGAUCUAAAUCUCUAUCCUUAUGGAAGUACCACUCUGUCUUGAUUAUUGUAGCUUUGUAGCAAGUUUUAAAAUUGGGAAGUGUGAGUCUUCUCACUUUGUUCUUCUUCUUUCAAAGUUGUAUUUGUUAUUUUGGGCCCUUUGCAUUUCUAUGUGAAUUUUGGGAUCAGCUUGUCCGUUUUUGCAAAAAGAAAAAAAAGGCAGUCAGGAUUUUGAUAGAGAUUGUGUUGAAUCUGUAGACUGAUUUGGGGAAAAUUGCCAUCAUCACAGUAUUAAUUCUUCUGGUCUAUGAAUGCAGGAUUUCUUUCCACUUAUUUAGGUCAUCUUUAAUAUAUCUGAACACUGUUCUGCAGUUUUUAGUGCACAGUUUUGUAUUUCUUUUGUUAAAUUCUCCUAAGUAUAUUUUAUGCUACUGUAAAUGGAAUUGUUUUCUUAUUUUAAUUUUCAGGGGAAAGUAAGAAAAUGGUCGGUCAUCACCUUCAGUCAUCAUCUCAGAUAGUGGGAUCAUGCUUGACUUUCCUUUAAGUUUUCUUUUUAAAACUGCAUUCUUCUUUUUUCCUUUUUUUUUUUUUUUUUGAGUCGCACAGGCUGGAGUUCAUUGCUAGUGUGUAGAAAUACAGUUGAUUUUUGUAUAUUGAUUUUGCACCCUGUAACCUUGCUGAACUCAUUUGUUAGCUUUCUGUGGAUUCUUCAGGAUUUUCUGUACUCAAAUUCAUGUCACCUGUGAAUAGAUGAUUUUACUUCCUUUCCGAUCUGGAUGCCUUUUCUUUCUUUUCCUUGCCUAAUUACCCUGGCCAAACCCUCCAGUGCAAGAUUCAGUAGAAGUCGUGAGAGCAGAUAUGCUUCUCUGGUUCCUGAUGUUGGGGGGAGGCAUUUCAUCUUUUACCUUUAAGGAUGUUUGUUGUGGGUUUUUGCUUGAUGCCUUUUAACUGUAAUCAGGUUGUGGAAAUUCCCUUGUAUUCCCAGUCUGUUGAGUGUUUUUAUCAUGAAAGGGUGUUGGAUUUUGUCAAAUGCUCUUUUCUGCAUCUCUUGAAAUGGUCAUGUGGUUUUUGUUCUUUAUUAAUAUACAGAUAAGUGUAUUACCUUGAUUAAUUUUCAUAUCCAAAGCAGCCUAGCGUUCCUCCUGAGAACUUCCAUGUCUCAAGUACAACUUUCAUUUUACAAUGACCCCCCUUGCUGUUGGGGCCACACCACCUUACAACUUGCCCAGCUCAGGAUGGCAAUUCUGACUGCAUGAUCGCUUGAUAUGUCUUGACCAGAUGCUCGGUUCUGACCAGAGCUCGGUAGCACACCUGGGGUGCUUUGUGGAUGAUGUGUGGUUCUUUGCGGGAGCUUGCAUGGCCUUGUUGUAGAACUCUAAGGGUUUUCAUAGUGACUCUCCUACAGGGGCUUGUCAGAAAGUCCAUAUGGUUCCUUUUUGGACCACAGAUAACUCUAGGGCUGUGAGAUCUGCUAGGUAUUGGGGUGCAGGCAUCGGGGCUGUUUGUACUGCAGCCUGGACUUGCUACAGAAUCCAUUAACUAACUGCUCACCCCAGUCAGAGCCAUCAGCUUUCCGUGUCUCUAGGUAAACAGAUUCAAGCAGUGUGACAAGCAUGGAAUAUGCUGCUUUCCAUAGACCUGUCAAGCAUUGCGUUUUGUUCUUAAUGGUACAAUGUACAAAAUGCAGUGUCUUGUUCUUUAUUUUUGAGAGGAUGCUGUAUCAUGUCUCAGACGACUGGAUUCCUAAAAACUCCCCAAAUGAAGCAGGUCCAAUUAGUAUGGUGUCACCAAUAUAUGGAUCCAUGCGAUUGAUUAUCUGUGGAGUGUCCGGAUGGUCCAGGACCCUUCAGAUUAUAUUACGAUGGAGAACAGGAAAAUUAACCAAAACCUGGGCAAGACUGCGAAUGUGUGCUACUAUCCAUCCCAGGUGAAUGUGAACUUCUUUGGAUUCCCUUUAUUGAUGGGGAAUUAGGAGAACGCUUAUAUGCUACUGCUCUUCAGAGAACAAUUGAAACACCUAUUCAAGUUAGAGACCUACGUACCCUGCAAACCGACUGCUCCAUUCCCAGUUCUGGAGGCCGGAGUUGGAAAUCAGUUUCACUGGGCACACAUGGAGGUGUUUGAAGGGCUGCCCGUGCCAGAGGCUCUCAGGGAGAAUCCCUUCCUUGUCUGUUCCAGCUCUACCUCCUCCUCUGCUGUGUGAGUAAAACCUCCCUCGGCCUCUUUGAUUAGGAUAAGGUGUAUUUAGUGUCUAGCAGGACAAUCCAGGAAAUUCUUCCCAUCUCAAGAUCCCUAACUUGAUCCCUUCUGCAAAGACCUGCUUUCACUCCCAUCUGCAAACACCAUUUCCGGGUUCCAGGGAUAAGCCCUGACAUCUGUGGGUGGCCGUUAUUCAGUUACCGACAGUGUGGCAUGAUGAAAAUGAAGUGUUAAAACAAGGACUGCAGUAUUGUUUAUUCCAGCAAAUGGUGAGUGGUCCAUCCUUCUCCAAGCCCUUUCUCUUCUUCUUCUCAUGGUCUCUGGCAUCUGGGAGAGUCCACGUGGCCUGGGUUGGGCUAACAGAUACCAGCAGAAGUGAUGCGUACAACUUCCGGCAACCUAGGUGCACUUGUCUCGCCCUCCCUGGGAGCAGAUCCAUCCUCAAACCUGCAGACAAGGAUAAUGCUGUAGUGGGUACUGAGAAAAAAAAAAAAAAAAAAAAGAAGGAACCUAAAGGAAAUGUUGGAGCAGAAAUACAUUUCUAUCUUAUUCAAGCUGGUAUAUUUUGGACUUCUGUUGCUACAACAGUUUCAUCUUUAUCCUAACGAAUACCCAUACAUGUAUUAGUAAAAAUAUAAAGGUGUCCAGGGAAUAAUGUCAGACUGAGGAGAAUGGGGCUUGGGGGAAGACGGGUGGCAAGAGGAUGUGUAAGGAAUACACAGUUGUAUCUGCAAAAUGUUUUCACUCUUAAGUUCAGUGGCAAACUAACGGAUGUUCUUUAUAUUAUUCUCUAUGCUUUUUUCAAUAUCUGAUUUAUUUUGCUUUAAAAAUCUAUACUAAUAGUGGAUGAGAAAAUAAAUGUCAUAGAAGGGG